rnacentral:lncRNA from 1 species
UGGGAUCAAAACCAAGGCACAGUGAGUUCCUUAUAGUAUCUUUUUUUGGGAUUACUCAAGAACCAAAACUUCUCACAGAUGUAAGAAAUUUUACCAAGGAAUCCUUUUUCCUAGCAGCAUCUCAUAAAGCUCCAGUCAGAUUCCUGAAAAGGCCUGUUGAUACAUCAAGAUAGAAUAUG